AGCCUCCCAGAGUUCUCAGCUUACAGGUGUGUGCCAUUGCGUUCUGAUAGGUGUGGGUUCUUAAAAGCAAGGAUCUCUAUUAAACUUGUGGAAAUGUUGUCCUCCUUUCGCCCAUCAGCCGAGGUGUGUGAAGGAUUGUGUGUGUGAGAAGAGGGUGGAAGAACGCCCUGAAACUCUCAUUUUCCUUACGGCCUCACAUGUUGCUUACAGAGUAUCCAUGAUUAAAAUAAUCUGCAUGUAAUACAGGGAACUCUUGAAGCUACCCCAAAUUAGCCUGCAAUGACAAGUUUGAAUAUUGCCAAUCCACAGUGGACAAUACGACAUUAAUGCUUCAGCAAGAAUUUGUUUAGACUGGAAAACAUUUUCAUCUACUAAACUUCCUUCUUAUGUUCCUUGUAUGAUGGAGAACAAAGAUCAAUAAAUAAGCAGUUAAGAGUCUGUGUGGGUUUGGCUAGAGUACUGCCACCAAAGACUCAUGAGACCAUGAACAAAGUAAGCUGGACCAAUACCACAAGGGUAAAGUGAGAAAGUUCCUUGGAUCAGUUCACUCUUUUUACAGUAUGGAUAAAUUGAUAACAGCCAACCAGUGGAAGGGCCAUGAGCUGUGUGCUUAUGUUACUAGCUUUGAAGAAGCUCUACUUCUCCUUUGUAAAGAUGAGGAAACUGUGACUUACAGAAGAGAGACAGGAAAGUCUUCAGAUGAACAGAAGAAGAAAUGAGAGUAUACUGGAAUUUUUGUUUAUUUUGAAAGGAAUCUAUUAGCCAGAAAGGAAGAGUAAAUUCAUUUUGCCUGGCUGGGCAGGGGGCAGCUGAAUCACAAGGAUCAAAUGUAGCACAAAAGAACAAGAGUAACUGGCUUACUCUAACAUGAAACCAUUCUGAGUAAAGUGUAAAGAAGAAGAAUUAAAG